rnacentral:rRNA from 1 species
UACAGAGGAGCCGAACGUUAUUCGGAUUCACUGGGCUUAAAGGGUGUGUAGGCGGCUUGUUAAGUAGGGUGUGAAAGCCCCUGGCUCAACCAGGGAACUGCACUCUAUACUGGCGAGCUAGAGUGAGAUAGGGGUGUGUGGAACUGCCAGUGGAGCGGUGAAAUGUGUUGAUAUUGGCAGGAACGCCGGUGGCGAAAGCGACACACUGGGUCUCAACUGACGCUGAGACACGAAAGCCAGGGGAGCAAACAGG